UUGACCGGUAUGAAUGGUGUCACGAAAGUUCUUCUGUUUUAAAAAAACACUCAAGGAAAUUGAAUUUGUAGUGAAGAUGCUACAUUAAAAUUGUUAGACGAGAAGUCCCCAUGGAGCUUUACUGAAAGCCUAAAAAAAAUUUUUUAUUUAUUUAUAGGUUAGACAGUUUUGUUGGGGUGAUAGUUUUUUAAAAAGUAACGAAAACGAACUAUGACGCAUGUUUCACUCUGAAAACUUGAAGAGACAUUUGGGGUGUGUUUUAUGAUCUAUUGUUUUGAAUGAAAAAGAUAAUGAAAGCAGAUAAAAGUUACCCUGGGGAA
rnacentral:rRNA from 1 species